UACGUAGGGUGCGAGCGUUACUCGGAAUUACUGGGCGUAAAGUGUGCGCAGGCGGCCGAGCAAGUCGAGUGUGAAAGCCCCGAGCUUAACUUGGGAACUGCGCUCGAAACUACUUGGCUAGAGUGUGGCAGAGGGAGGUGGAAUUCCACGUGUAGCGGUGAAAUGCGUAGAUAUCAGGAGGAACACCGGUGGCGAAGGCGGCUACCUGGACAGAAACUGACGCUGAGGCGCGAAAGCUAGGGGAGCAAACAGG
rnacentral:rRNA from 1 species